GACGAACGCUGGCGGCGUGCUUAACACAUGCAAGUCGAACGGAAAGGCCCUGCUUUUGUGGGGUGCUCGAGUGGCGAACGGGUGAGUAACACGUGAGUAACCUGCCCUUGACUUUGGGAUAACUUCAGGAAACUGGGGCUAAUACCGGAUAGGAGCUCCUGCUGCAUGGUGGGGGUUGGAAAGUUUCGGCGGUUGGGGAUGGACUCGCGGCUUAUCAGCUUGUUGGUGGGGUAGUGGCUUACCAAGGCUUUGACGGGUAGCCGGCCUGAGAGGGUGACCGGCCACAUUGGGACUGAGAUACGGCCCAGACUCCUACGGGAGGCAGCAGUGGGGAAUAUUGCACAAUGGGCGGAAGCCUGAUGCAGCAACGCCGCGUGCGGGAUGACGGCCUUCGGGUUGUAAACCGCUUUCGCCUGUGACGAAGCGUGAGUGACGGUAAUGGGUAAAGAAGCGCCGACUAACUACGUG
rnacentral:rRNA from 1 species